AUUGAACGCUGGCGGCAGGCCUAACACAUGCAAGUCGAGCGAGCGGCGGACGGGUGAGUAAUGUAUGGGGACUGCCCGAUAGAGGGGGAUAACUACUGGAAACGGUAGCUAAUACCGCAUACUAUCGGAUAACCCAUAUGGGAUUAGCUAGUAGGUGAGGUAAUGGCUCACCUAGGCGACGAUCCCUAGCUGGUCUGAGAGGAUGAUCAGCCCACCUGGGAACUAGACCAGGCCAAGAUCCCAAGGGAGGGAGGAAGUGGGAAAUUUUGAAAAUGGGGGAAACCCUGAUCCAGCCAUCCCGCGUGUAUGAUGAAGGCCUUCGGGUUGUAAAGUACUUUUGGCAGAGAAGCGGUAUCUGCAGAAUAAGCACCGGCUAACUACGUGCCAGCCGCCGCGGUAAUUC
rnacentral:rRNA from 1 species